ACAGGGAACGAGAAGCGAGAGAUGCAGCUCUCAAAGCAAAGCGAUGCAAUGCAACGCAACAUCAUCUUCUUUCGAUACCCAGGCGGCAAGAGGAAGAGAAGAGGAGAGAGGGGAUGGGGAGGAUCGCACCGUUGAAGAAGCCUCACGCGUCGACCGCCCGGCCCCACCAGGUCGGAUCUGUUGCGCCCGCCUGCCAACGCCUCUGCGACGUCGUUGUUCUUCUCCUUUGGUCGUGACAAUUGUAGCCGUCGGAUGGGAUCCAUAAGUUGGUUUUCGGCGGCCUGAUGCGCGCUGAGGAGGACGGCGUGGUAAUGCAACAUUAGGUUUCGGAGACUUGUACAGGUCCCAAGUUAAAAGAAAUGACUGGAAAGUGGCAUCUUUGUAGUUCACAACAUUGGUGAUCAACUAGAAUCAGAGAAUUCUUUCUCGACUCCUAGCGAUUGGACAGAUUCACGAAUCAGAUAUUAUUCCCUAUUAAGCAUGGAGUUCUGGUAUUCCACAAAAGUUAAGACAUCUGAGUCCUGUUUGAAGAAAACUAGAAAAGCAGAUCCACAAGUCAUCCUGUUCCAGAAGUUAGAUAUUCUUGUAAUUGUUCUUUUUUUCUCUCUUUCUGAGCUUAAUUAUACUUGUAACAUUUGGAAAUUUAUCAUUGCUGUGCUUCAUUGCUUUGCAUGAUCUCAAAUCGAUUUUUUUGGAACUGCAAAUGAAGUGUCAAACGCUAUAGUUACCCACACUAGGAUGAUCUAUAGUCUUGCUUGAAAGAUUUUUUUGUAUCAAUCUCUUAAGUUAAAACAAGAUUUGUGAUCGGUUACUCCAGACUUUGCAUUUGAUUGAUUGCUGAUAUAUGAAUCUUUUGUUUAAUAAAAAAAAAUCAUCUUUAGAGUACAAGUCAGCCAUGAUGUAGUGCAACUAGCCAUAUCUAAUUUAAAGGCAAUGGAAUGGUUUUCCCUGAGAAAUCAAUGUCACCGGUCUGGGUGGCUGUCUGCAAGUACAAGAAUGACACAUUUUGAUUAUAUGGUUUUUUGCUUCCAAAGACUUGUACAGGUCCCAAGUUAAAAGAAAUGACUGGAAAGUGGCAUCUUUGUAGUUCACAACAUUGGUGAUCAACUAGAAUCAGAGAAUUCUUUCUCGACUCCUAGCGAUUGGACAGAUUCACGAAUCAGAUAUUAUUCCCUAUUAAGCAUGGAGUUCUGGUAUUACACAAAAGUUAAGACAUCUGAGUCCUGUUUGAAGAAAACUAGAAAAGCAGAUCCACAAGUCAUCCUGUUCCAGAAGUUAGAUAUUCUUCCUACUGCCGGUCUAAGCAAUUUCUUGUUUUGUGAAGAAACUGUGGUCGAGACUUCUGAUUAAAUCCAUGCUCUGAAGAUACCAGAACUCACAGGCAAUGAUGUCUUCAAAGAUGUUGCACCACCAGGAUUUAUAGAAACGACAAGAAGCACGACAAAGCUUAAAUAAAUGAGUGAUAAUGAUUUUCAAUGACAGGAAGCAUCCUCUUCAAGCUGUGGUGCCUGCAAACCUCCCGGUGGUGAAAGCGGUAUGACACUAGUUUGAAGUAUCUUUUCUGGCACAGUCGUUUAUGGUAGCUUCUUGACAGCAUUUGGACCAGCUGAGGGAUCUCCCUCUCUUAAUGCACUUUGACCGCAUGCUGUGUUCUGAUGUUAUCCUGAUAUGAUGAUGUCCUGCUUAGAUAAUCUGUGUUCCGAACGAACUUGUAUUUAUUUGUAUUUGAUCUAAAUUGUUAGCAUGGUGAACAACU